ensembl:lncRNA
AUAGUGACGUUCAGUCAGAAUAACUUGCUGGUCUUAGUAUCCCACUCAGAGCGCGUGUCCCAGGUCUUCUUAAGAGUGAAAAUAGGUGGCAUCACCUUAAGAUUCGACCAGUGUUCAUUUGUUUAAAAAUCACCUGAAAAGCUCGACACUCACUAAAAGAAACAAAGAAGAGGUAACAAAACGGACAGUGCGCUGUGCUCCUGCAGCGCGCUCCACUCUGUCUGCCGUGCAGUUGAAAAGUUAUAUCAAAGAUGAUCUCUCCCUCUCUCUCGGUUGAGUGAAUAAGGACUCCCUCUUCCCAGUUCGAAGUAAUAGCUAAUAGUGUUGAAGAGGGCAGCAGCUCUUGGUUUUGUUCAGAUCUGGGCAGAUCUCUCCAUCGACAGCCAAUCAUCCCUGUUCUGAGCUUUCAUUGAAGGUGAAGGAUGUUGUGCUUGGUAAUAUAUAUGGCUACUGGGACCAGCUGGGUAUUACUACUGGGUCCAGCUGGGUAUUACUACUGGGACCAGCUGGGUAUUCCUACUGGGACCAGCUGGGUAUUACUACUGGGACCAGCUGGGUAUUACUACAGGGACCAGCUGGGUAUUACUACAGGGACCAGCUGGGUAUUACUACAGGGACCAGCUGGGUAUUACUACUGGGACCAGCUGGGUAUUACUAGAGGGACCAGCUGGGUAUUACUACUGGGACCAGCUGGGUAUUACUACUGGGACCAGCUGGGUAUUACUAGAGGGACCAGCUGGGUAUUACUACAGGGACCAACUGGGUAUUACUACUGGGACCAGCGGGGUAUUACUACUGGGACCAGCUGGGUAUUACUACUGGGACCAGCUGGGCAUUACUACUGGGACCACCUGGGUAUUACUACUGGGACCAGCUGGGUAUUACUACUGGGACCAGCUGGGCAUUACUACUGGGACCAGCUGGGUAUUACUACUGGGACCAGCUGGGCAUUACUACUGGGACCAGCUGGGUAUUACUACUGGGACCAGCUGGGCAUUACUACUGGGACCAGCUGGGUAUUACUACAGGGACAAGCUGGGCAUUUCUACUGGGACCAGCUGGGUUUACAACUGGGACCAGCUGGGUAUUACUACUGGGACCAGCUGGGUAUUACUACAGGGACCAGCUGGGUAUUACUACAGGGACCAGCUGGGUAUUACUACAGGGACCAGCUGGGUAUUACUACUGGGACCAGCUGGGUAUUACUACUGGGACCAGCUGGGUAUUACUACAGGGACCAGCUGAGUAUUACUACAGGGACCAGCUGGGUAUUACUACUGGGACCAGCUGGGUAUUACUACAGGGACCAGCUGGGUAUUACUACAGGGACCAGCUGGGUAUUACUACUGGGACCAGCUGGGUAUUACUACUGGGACCAGCUGGGUAUUACUACAGGGACCAGCUGGGUAUUACUACAGGGACCAGCUGGGUAUUACUACAGGGGCCAGCUGGGUAUUACUACUGGGACCAGCUGGGUAUUACUACAGGGACCAGCUGGGUAUUACUACAGGGACCAGCUGGGUAUUACCACAGGGACCAGCUGGGUAUUACUACAGGGACCAGCUGGGUAUUACUACUGGGACCAGCUGGGUAUUACUACUGGGACCAGCUGGGUAUUACUACAGGGACCAGCUGGGUAUUACUACAGGGACCAGCUGGGUAUUACUACAGGGACCAGCUGGGUAUUACUACUGGGACCAGCUGGGUAUUACUACUGGGACCAGCUGGGUAUUACUACAGGGACCAGCUGGGUAUUACUACAGGGACCAGCUGGGUAUUACUACUGGGACCAGCUGGGUAUUACUACUGGGACCAGCUGGGUAUUACUACAGGGACCAGCUGGGUAUUACUACAGGGACCAGCUGGGUAUUACUACUGGGACCAGCUGGGUAUUACUACAGGGACCAGCUGGGUAUUACUACUG